CAAAUUAACAAUUAAAAUAAAAAAUUAAAAAAAAAAGUGAACAAAAUAGAAAAUUAACAAGGAUACUGCAUACCCAAUACCCAUACAGCAAAAUUAGAUAAGAAGGAGGAGAGGAAAAGGGGGGGAAAAAUGGUACGCAAAACAUAUUGCAGCACAGAAUAGGGAAGAAAUGCCCAUACAGCAGCAUUAGAGAUGGAGGAGAGGAAAAGGAAAAAAAA
rnacentral:misc_RNA from 1 species